CAGUAGCCGCGGUAAAACGAAGGGUGCAAGCGUUACUCGGAAUUACUGGGCGUAAAGCGUGCGUAGGUGGUGGUUUAAGUCCGUUGUGAAAGCCCUGGGCUCAACCUGGGAAUUGCAGUGGAUACUGGGUCACUAGGGUGUGGUAGAGGAUAGUGGAAUUUCCGGUGUAGCAGUGAAAUGCGUAGAGAUCGGAAGGAACAUCUGUGGCGAAGGCGACUAUCUGGGCCAACACUGACACUGAGGCACGAAAGCGUGGGGAGCAAACAGGAUUAGAUACCCCUGUAGUCCCUGUCUCUUAUAC
rnacentral:rRNA from 1 species